GUUUCAACAUGUCUGUUUUGGGUAUUAUAUUGCUAAGGGUUUUGGAUAUUAAUUGUAUUUUGUUUAUGUUCAGUGCUUUAAUGGACGAUGAAUGACCUUAAUUGGCGAUAUAAUUAUUUACAGGCUUAUGGUGUCAGUGAAGAAGUACUAUUCAACAUGAGGAAUUUUUUA